AUGGGAGAUAUGAAUAACAUUUUGUAUGACGAUGAUAAGAACUCCCAGCAUGUUAAUAGUAAUCGUAUGCGCGCUUUUCGUAACAUUGUUAAAUCUUGUGGGUUUUUUGAUCUAGGAUAUAGUGGGCCUGCUUAUACUUGGACUAAUAAGCGAUAUUCUUCUGUGCCUAUCUACGAACGCCUAGAUAGAUGCUUGGUAAAUGCUGAAUGGUGUGCUUUAUAUCCGAUCACUAAUGUCUAUAAUAUGCCGAUCACUAUUAGUGACCACGCUCCCAUUCUUGUCUCCACUGAAGGUAAUUUCAGAAAGCCUUUGCAAACUUUUAAAUUUGAAAAUUGGUGGCUCAUGGAAAAGGAUUUUAAUGAAUAUGCCAAAGUUGCUUGGAAUAGUACUGCUCAUAGGCCUUUCUAUGCUAGAACUAACCACCUUGCAGGAUCACUCAAGAAAUGGUGCAAGAAGAAGAAAUCUCUAAAUCAGGAACUCAAUUCUCUGGAGGAACAAAUUAAGAAUAUUCAAAAAAAACCAUUGCAUGAGCAGGAUCACAACAUGGAAGCAACCCUUGUUUGCAGGUUUGAGGAAAAUUUAACGAAGCUCACUCAAUUUUAUAGCCAGAGAGCUAAGAAACAUUGGGCGACAAAAGGAGAUAGGAACACCAGUUUUUUCCAUCAAGCUGUUCUCAAAAGGAGGAGGAAAAACCAAAUAGUUUCCAUCAGGGAUAACAAAAAUAUUACUCAUUUUAACCCAGAUAAAAUUGCGCACAUAUUUGUAGACUAUUUUAAAGAAAUCUUCAAGUCUAACAAUGCAGAUCUUGGGAGGCCGUAUGAUGCAACAACAACAAACAAUGACAGCAGAGAUUGUACCAACACUAUCCCAGAUAAACAGGAGGUUUGGAGCAUUUUGAAGGAAAUGAAGGUCAAUGCAUCCCCAGGACCAGAUGGAUUCAAUGUGGCGUUCUACCAAGCGUGA
rnacentral:rRNA from 1 species